GCCUCUGUAGCUCAGUUGGUAGAGCAGGGGACUGAAAAUCCCCGUGUCGUUCAGUUCGAGCCUGAUCCGGGUCG
rnacentral:tRNA from 1 species